UGGGGAAUAUUGCGCAAUGGGGGAAACCCUGACGCAGCGACGCCGCGUGGGUGAUGAAGGCUUUCGGGUCGUAAAGCCCUGUCGAGUGGGACGAAAGACGAUAUGGCUAAUAUCCAUGUCGAGUGACGGUACCACUAAAGGAAGCACCGGCUAACUACGUGCCAGCAGCCGCGGUAAUACGUAGGGUGCAAGCGUUGCUCGGAAUCAUUGGGCGUAAAGAGCGUGUAGGUGGCUAGAUAAGUCAGAUGUGAAAUCCCUCGGCUCAACCGAGGAAGUGCAUUUGAAACUAUCUAGCUCGAGGAUGGCAGAGGAAGGUGGAAUUCCUAGUGUAGAGGUGAAAUUCGUAGAUAUUAGGAGGAAUACCGGUGGCGAAGGCAGCCCCCUGGGCUAACACUGACGCUCAUGCACGAAAGCGUGGGGAGCAAACAGGAUUAGAUACCCAAGUAGUCCCUGAGCGGGCUGGCAAGGCGCAU
rnacentral:rRNA from 1 species